rnacentral:rRNA from 1 species
GACGAACGCUGGCGGCGUGCCUAAUACAUGCAAGUCGAGCGCAGGAAACUGACGGAACUCUGCGGAGGGAAGGCAGUGGAAUGAGCGGCGGACGGGUGAGUAACACGUAGGGAACCUGCCUCAAGGAUUGGGAUAACUCCGAGAAAUCGGAGCUAAUACCGGAUAGUUCAACGGACCGCAUGGUCCGCUCAUGAAAGGCGCUUCGGCGUCACCUUGAGCUGGCCUUGCGGUGCAUUAGCUAGUUGGUGGGGUAACGGCCCACCAAGGCGACGAUGCAUAGCCGACCUGAGAGGGUGAUCGGCCACACUGGGACUGAGACACGGCCCAGACUCCUACGGGAGGCAGCAGUAGGGAAUCUUCCACAAUGGACGAAAGUCUGAUGGAGCAACGCCGCGUGAGUGAUGAAGGUUUUCGGAUCGUAAAACUCUGUUGUAAGGGAAGAACACGUACGAGAGGGAAUGCUCGUACCUUGACGGUACCUUACGAGAAAGCCACGGCUAACUACGUGCCAGCCGCCGCGGUAA